rnacentral:sRNA from 1 species
AUGGUCAAAAGGUCUAAACCCACAUGAGCUUGCUCAUAGGUGGGCGAAAGACCUUGAAGCCCGCCCCGAUAUUCGCAUAUCGUAGGAUGAUAAUCCCACGAUAUGCGAAUAUCGGGGCGAAUUGUGGGAGUGCGUAGCACGGAACAAUUCGUAGGCAUC